UACGUAGGGGGCUAGCGUUGUCCGGAAUCAUUGGGCGUAAAGAGCGUGUAGGCGGUCCGGUAAGUCCGCUGUGAAAGUCGGGGGCUCAACCCUCGAAUGCCGGUGGAUACUGUCGGGCUAGAGUGCGGAAGAGGCGAGUGGAAUUCCUGGUGUAGCGGUGAAAUGCGCAGAUAUCAGGAGGAACACCGGUGGCGAAGGCGGGUCUCUGGGCCAAUACUGACGCUGAGGAGCGAAAGCGUGGGGAGCGAACAGG
rnacentral:rRNA from 1 species